ensembl:lncRNA
GUUGAUACAAUGUUGCAAGUUCACUAGCAACAGCUUCAGCCCAAACCCAGUUGAUUGAUUUGGUAGCCUACAAUGUUGCACUUCACCAGCGAUGGCUCAAGUCAAGACAGAUAGAAAGGGGGGCAGAGAAGAUAGAUUCAUGUGAUUGAAAGAACCUGCAUUUUCAUCAGGAUAUUUUCUUCUGUUUUUAUUUGUUGGGUUUAGGACUAUGUAUGUUACUUAGUUGAAGAUGGAAGUUACUGUAUAGGCCUAAUUUAGCAUUGGCCUAAAGGCUAUCUCUGAGUUCCAUGCGUUAAUUUAUUUAGCCACCAAUGAAUGGAUCACGGUGGAUCAAUGUGUCCAUAUGGCAGGGGCUAGUACUCUUGCAUUAGGUGAAUUUUAAUUCAGAUUUUUAUGAUAAACCAAGUAAAAAACAUUUAGAAAAACAAAAAGGUUAUUUUUGAAAUGAAACUGUUCCAUGAAAUGCUGUUAUGAAAAUAAUCAACUGGUCGGCAGAUCGGUAGUAAUAGCAGGAUAAGUUGUAAGCUUCCCCAAAAUUGAAACUCACGAGCGGCCUAUGGUCUUUACUCUUACACCCAUUAAAAAUGCGUGCCUGCAUAUAGAAAUCAAAUGCCUUUCCAACUGAUUCCUUCUAGCGCUGGCCCUGCCACAACUUUAUGGGAAUGGUGCAGGAUACCCAGCAAGCACAUAACGUUCUGAGAACCAUAUGUUUCUUAGGUGGGAAUUUCAGUACUUCCGCAUAACGUUUCCUACGGGUUUGCUCACGGUUCUAUGUAAAGUAAUGUUCUCAAAUUUUCCAGGGAACAUUAAGAAACAACGUUCUUCUGUGGGAAUUGCAGUACUUCAACAUAAAAUUUUCUACAGGUUUCCUUGUGGUUCUUUAUAAAGUCAUGUUCUCAGCACAUUAAGAAAACGUUCUAUAAAAACCACAAGAAAACAUUGGUAAUGCUCAAAGAACGUUCUAAAAAUGUUAUUUAAAAACUUAAACAUUCUGUUCUCAACGUCAACAAAACUUAAUCUAUCCUGUGUGUGUGUUUGUGUGUUUCCCGUACCACACCUGAUCUUAAUGAGUGCUUUUUUCCUUUGAAAUGGGGUCUGUUUGAAUGGACUAAAAUGAACAGCUACGUAUGAGUUAAAGAUACAUGGCAUGCUAGCUCCAUCCUGGUGGUGCAGUGGACAGCUGGAGCGGAGUUGGAGCGUUCUUAAAUCUGACUGAAGCGCAGAGCAAGUUGACCAAAGGCUGGAGCAUCGGUCUUCUCGACCGCCUCCAAUAUUGCUCCAUUACCGCUCCAGUAACGCUCACUUCACCAGCUCAGGGCCCGGACCAGCAUGCAUCUGUAGGCUACUUGUGUGCUGCUUUAGCCCCUUGCUUUAGCUACUGUCAUGGAGUUCACUUAAUAUUUUCAUAAAGACACUGAUAAAACACACAGGUGUGAAAUCAAGGUGACUUACAAAGAUGAGGACCAAGAGAAAGAGAGGGAGUGCAGUGAUGUAGUGUCCACAACUAAAGAAUCAUUGUGGAAUCUGAAAAGACAUCCUGAAAGCAUGAUGGUGUACUAUGUGCACAUUCUAACAGAAAGGAAUGCGGUGGGUAGCUAGCUAAGUGUGUCAUUAUAGCAAAAAUAUUUAUAAACUAAAAAUAAGAUCUCUUAAAAAUGUAUUUCAUUUUUGUUCUAUUAUCUUUACUAUCGGCUCUAACUGGUUUUGGCCCAAUAGACCUGAAAUGUUACCUCUUUCAAUGAGCUUUCCAUUUUGAUAUGGUUAUUUUACCAUAAAAUCUUUAGGCCAACCUAUAAAAACCUAGAAUCUGCAUCCCUGCCCAGCCUGGCAAGAGUGGCCCAAAAGGUGUUUAGCAUCCUCAUUGGCUCUGCAAUGUCUGAGAGGGUAUUCUCCCCUGUUGGCCUGCUCUACCGGCACCAUCACAUGAGCCUGAAGCCACAGACUCUGGCCAAACUCGUGUUUCUAAAAGUUCAUUCAAAGGCACUGUAUGCUGAGCCUAAUAAAGCAUUCUUUGUUUAAUUUGUAUUUCAUUCUAAUACUACCUGUCUGGCUCCUGAAAUAUUUAGAGUGUUUUUGCGUUGUUUAAUAUGACAUGUGGCCUGUUUAGAGUGGUUAUAUGCUGUUUAAUAUGACAUGUGGCCUAUUUAGAGUGUUUACAUGGUGUGUAAUAUGACAUGUGGCCUAUUUAGAGUGGUUAUAUGGUGUGUAAUAUGACAUGUGGCCUAUUUAGAGUGGUUAUAUGCUGUUUAAUAUGACAUGUGGCCUAUUUAGAGUGUUUAUAUGGUGUGUAAUAUGACAUGUGGCCUAUUUAGAGUGGUUAUAUGCUGUUUAAUAUGACAUGUGGCCUAUUUAGAGUGGUUAUAUGGUGUUUAAUAUGACAUGUGGCCUAUUUAGAGUGGUUAUAUGCUGUUUAAUAUGAC